rnacentral:rRNA from 1 species
CUCAACAUUCCAGCACCAUUUGGGAGCGCGUUGAACAUAGCUGGGACGGAGAAGGAUAGGCCGAGCCAAGUGAUUGGUUACUUGGUUCAAGCCCGUAGGCAGAUUCCGUAGGACCCAACAGGGACAAACGCGGAGUCAAUGCCGAGAGGUGAUGAGGUUGGGCUUCGGCCCGAAAACUCGGUGAUUCCAAGCUUCCAAGAAAAGCAGCGAUGUGAGCGCCUCAGAUGUCCGUACCGAAAACCGACUCAGGUGGGCGGGGUGAGUAUCCCAAGGCGCGUGAGAGAACGCUGGCUAAGGAACUCGGCAAAAUUACACCGUAACUUCGGGAGAAGGUGUGCCUCUAUUAGGUGAAGGGCUUGCGCCUGGAGCUGACGGGGGUUGCAGAGAAAUGGGGGUUGCGACUGUUUACCAAAAACACAGGACUCUGCGAAGUCGCAAGACGACGUAUAUGGUCUGACGCCUGCCCGGUGCUGGAAGGUUAAGGGGAGAAGUCAGCCGCAAGGCGAAGCCUCGAACCGAAGCCCCAGUAAACGGCGGCCGUAACAAUAACGGUCCUAAGGUAGCGAAAUUCCUUGUCGGGUAAGUACCGACCUGCACGAAUGGCGUAACGACAUCCCCACUGUCUCGGCCAGCGACUCAGCGAAAUUGUAAUGGGGGUGAAGAUACCCUCUACCCGUGGCAAGACGGAAAGACCCCGUGAACCUUCACUGCAACUUGACAGUGAAGUUCGGGACAUUCUGCGUAGGAUAGGUGGGAGGCAUUGAAGUCGGGAUUCUGGUCUCGAUGGAGCCAACGUUGAAAUACCACCCUGGAUGUUCUGGACUUCUAACCUAGGCCCCUAUACCGGGUCGGGGACGCUGUCUGGUGGGCAGUUUGACUGGGGCGGUCGCCUCCCAAAGCGUAACGGAGGCGCACGAAGGUUCCCUCAGCCUGAUUGGAAACCAGGCGUAGAGUGCAAAGGCAUAAGGGAGCUUGACUGUGAGACUGACAGGUCGAACAGGUGCGAAAGCAGGUCUUAGUGAUCCGGUGACUUCGUGUGGAAGAGUCAUCGCUCAACGGAUAAAAGGUACUCCGGGGAUAACAGGCUGAUCACGCCUGAGAGUUCAUAUCGGCGGCGUGGUUUGGCACCUCGAUGUCGGCUCAUCGCAUCCUGGGGCUGGAGCAGGUCCCAAGGGUUUGGCUGUUCGCCAAUUAAAGCGGUACGCGAGCUGGGUUCAGAACGUCGUGAGACAGUUCGGUCCCUAUCUGUCAUGGGCGCAGGAUACUUGAAGGGAGCUAACCAUAGUACGAGAGGACCUGGUUGGACGUACCCCUAGUGUUCCGGUUGUUCUGCCAAGAGCAUAGCCGGGUAGCUAUGUACGGAACGGAUAACCGCUGAAAGCAUCUAAGCGGGAAGCCGGCCCUAAGAUGAGGUAUCCCGGGCUGCAAAGCCCCUGAAGGCCCCUUGAAGACUACAAGGUAAUAGGUGGGGUGUGGAAGCGCAGCAAUGCGCGUAGCUGACCCAUACUAAUCGGCCGUGAGGCUUGACCUG